rnacentral:rRNA from 1 species
UACGUAGGGGGCAAGCGUUGUCCGGAAUCAUUGGGCGUAAAGCGCGUGUAGGCGGUUCGGUAAGUCCGCUGUGAAAGUCGGGGGCUCAACCCUCGGAAGCCGGUGGAUACUGUCGGGCUAGAGUACGGAAGAGGCGAGUGGAAUUCCUGGUGUAGCGGUGAAAUGCGCAGAUAUCAGGAGGAACACCAAUUGCGAAGGCAGCUCGCUGGACGUUACUGACGCUGAGACGCGAAAGCGUGGGAGCAAACAGG